GGCCUGCACAUCCACGGGCAGCUGUUGUGUGUCUUGACACCUCGCUGUGAGGAUCCUGCAGCUCUUGCUGCUUUGAGGCUCGCAACACUGUGCAAAAUGGAGAUGGAAAAGAAAUACUAGGUCACCUAGUCCAUCUCAUAGGCUCAGGGAAGACUGUUCUUUGCUUAAUGUUAGCUUUUCCUCUGAUUUCAGCAGGUCACUUUCCCUUAGUCCUCCUCUGCUUUCUUCUUUCUUAAUCUCAGGCCCUGGUGUUCUUUGGGUCUACAUUCAGCUGAUUUAGGAUUAAUACCAAAUGCAGUUGGCUUUGCAUUUGCGAAAUAAUCAACCGGUGUCACUGCAAGUAUUCAAGAUAUGUAAAAACUUAAAAAUCAAGGCAAGCAACUAGCCCAGCUCACCUAGGCAGGAAAUUUCAGACACAGAAUUAAGAUCACGAGCAACAGUCCAGCAUCAAUGUAGACCAGCGCUUGUCUCGUGGAUGUCUUUUGGUAAGCAUAGCGGAUCCGAAAGCUACAGAGACCUACCGAACCUACCACCCAAUUCCAACAGCAUCUCAAGGUCUAACAAGAUAAUAAAAGGAAGAAAAACACCAAGGAUGCUAGCAAACUGUCAAUAUAGGGAAUUUACAGAACACUCCAGCAUCUCAGAAGUCAGUAGAGAAAAAUCACUGGAAGAGAGUGAUACUGCAACAUCCCAGUCUAACCCAUAGGCUGGAGAUUUUGAUCCCUGUAUACGAAAAGAUCUAAUACAGAGUCUUCAAAUCAUAUUUUGUCAUAUUGUGAAGGACUUGCAUUGUCCAUCUGCACAGAGAUUAAUUUCACCUAACAUGAUUUGUUGUAUUGAUUUCAGUGGGAUUAGCCAAGAGUACAAAGAUGACUACGGUUGUACGCUUACAUUGACGUGAACAACAGAAUGCGGUUCUGAUAAUCUGCCAUGUUUGGGAGACAAGCAAAUCCUUCAGAAAGCCAGUGGCUUAUUUACAAAGAUCUGAUAUUAACCAUAUAGCCAAUGUUAACAGAAGUGUUUUCAUGCUUUGUGAAACUUCCAUUCCUAAUUAAAAGUUGUUUGGCUUUGUAAGUCACACCUUGUAGCAAUGUGCUGGAUCUCUAUUAUUCCAGUAUAAAACUGACUGUUUGCUUGCUCUUUCAGCACAACAGAAGGCAUAAGAUGUGAAAAGACAAUUGCAGAAGGGUUUUGUAAUAGCAGUUCUCACCUUAUAUCAAUUUGAAGAGUCUUAAGCAUUUUGCAGUAGAUCUGCAGGGGUUCUUAUAUAGCAAAUUGAAGUCAACUGACAAUAGGUUUACUCUUCGUGAUUACCUUUUGCAGACUCUUCAGAAGUAGCCUGUGAGUCCCAAGGAGUCCACAGAGAUGAUUUGCAGGAAAAAAAAGGAAUACUUAUUUAUUAUAAUCUCUGUUAAAUGUUGUUUCAGUAUCAUUUUAUCUUGAAACUGCUCUUGCACAUGUAAACUGCUAGGAUCCUGUUUUCAGUUCUGCUGUGUCCUCAUAACCACUCAAUAAUAACUAAGUGCUCGAGCACUAACAGGAGGGUAAGAUCACCGCUAUCACUGAACGUCUAUUUUUGUUGAUGUUGCUAGAGCAUCCUACUUUUGCUGCUGAAGCUCUGUGUUGUAUACACAGCCAUUACACUCAGUAAGUUUGAAAGCAGAUUUCUCAGUGUAACUGACUCAGUCACGGAAGAGGUGCCCAUCUAUCUGCUGUUUGCAGUCCCUCAGUUCUUAGUGUUACUUUUCAAAAUACACCACACCAAAUCCUCAUCCAGCGUAACGCACCUUGGAUCAAUGAAAUAAAUUCUACUGUGUAGGAUAAAUGAGCUCUGUGUGACUUUUCUGCAAUGUAAAUGCAGUUACCAUAUUUUGCAUGGCACAAAGAUUCUGAUCAAUGCCUGCACACCAGUGAAUGAUCUAUAUAUUUAAUUUCACUGUUUUCAUCAUUCCAUGUCUAUUAUUUAGGAACUAGGUAGCAGACCCCACAAUCCUUUCAGCCAUCCCUUAAGACUAAAGUUUAGUCAGAAAUUUCCUUUCAUUUAAAAAUUAUUCUAUAAUCCUGAAUUUAAUUUUUUUUUUUACUAUUUAGCUUAGCUAUAUACAUACCCCCCGAAGAAUCAUGUUUCAAGAGUGCAAAAUUAACUGAAAAAAGAAGCACUGUGAUUUUUAUUGCUUCAAAUAAUGUAAAGAAAUCUUGACAGAUUUUUUUACUCUUAAAUUAUUUUAUCUUUUAUAUUGCUUUCUAAAUAUUAGGGAUAUCAAAUGUGAUUGUUCCCCAUUCCUACUGGAGGACCUUCUGGUAAUACAGAGAACUGUUUAAAACAUCAAAUCACAACUGGACGCUCAAUCUCAGAUAAUAAAUCAUGUAUCUUAACAAAUGCAAAACAAUAAAUGUAAAUCAAGUCAAAUCCUUCCUUUCCAUGAGUCAGAUGCUAUUUCCUUGGUACUUAUGAUGCAGCAGCCUGGAGUUUAAUCUAAAAACCAUUACAUUCAUUAAGCAUCAUUCUGCUGACUUCAAUGGUCUUUGAAUAAAGCUAAUAGCCUAUUUUGUUCCUACAUAUCCAGUGUUGAGGUGCAAAGGAGGCUAGAGAACAACAGGAAAGGCAGGACUAGAAUUUUUUUAUUUAAAAUGUCUUAUAAGCUAUUUAUUCAUAUAUCAGAAAGUAUAAAAUAAAAGAGCAUGGGUUGUUGGUUGGUUGGGUUUUUUUUUUUUAAGAAUAAGGUGGUAGCGAGGGAAAAGGUGUCAGAGAGGUCAUGUUAUAGUUCUACUUGGAAACCUGUUUACAUAAAAAUCACUUUUUCAGAAGGUGUAGCUCUUCCUCCUGUAUCUAGGUUAUGACACUGACUCUGAACAGCAUCCAACUCCACAAUUACUUUCAUGGCGAUUAACCAGUUAAUUAAAUCUCUAAAAGCAAGACAAUUUAGAAUUGUCCUUAACACCUUUGUGUUAAUCAGCUGUACACAGUUAUCAGAAGGGUUAGUUAAGUGGUGGCCAGUCUUACAGUAGGUUUCUCUGGGGCUGUAAUACUUUAGGUGUGAGGUAGUGGGUUAAAGAGGAAAUGCAAACGUGUAAUUUUAGACUUAACUUUGAAAUUUCUCACUUUUGUGUUGCAAGGCAGACCUUACACAUUACUUUGACAUACUGUUGUUAUUUGCAAUGUAAUCUUGUAUAAUAAUUAACUCCAAGUGAUCCACUGCAGUGCUUUAGCAAAGUAUUGGCACCUAUUAAA